GACAGAGGGUGCAAACGUGUUCGGAAUUACUGGGCGUAAAGCGCGUGUAGGCGGCCCUGCAAGUCGGAUGUGAAAUCCCACGGCUCAACCGUGGAAGUGCAUUCGAAACUGCAGGGCUAGAGUCCUGGAGAGGAAGGUGGAAUGCUUGGUGUAGAGGUGAAAUUCGUAGAUAUCAAGCGGAACACCGGUGGCGAAGGCGGCCUCUGGACAGUGACUGACGCUGAGACGCGAAAGCGGUGGGGAGCAAACAGGG
rnacentral:rRNA from 1 species